UACGGAGGAUCCAAGCGUUAUCCGGAUUUAUUGGGUUUAAAGGGUGCGUAGGCGGCUUAUUAAGUCAGUGGUGAAAUCCUGGAGCUUAACUCCAGAACUGCCAUUGAUACUGAUGAGCUUGAGUACAGUUGAGGUAGGCGGAAUGUGUCAUGUAGCGGUGAAAUGCUUAGAUAUGACACAGAACACCGAUUGCGAAGGCAGCUUGCUAAACUGUAACUGACGCUGAGGCACGAAAGCGUGGGUAGCAAACAGG
rnacentral:rRNA from 1 species